CUGGUUGAUCCUGCCAGUAGUCAUAUGCUUGUCUCAAAGAUUAAGCCAUGCAUGUCUCAGUAUAAGUCUUUAUAUGGCAAAACUGCGAAUGGCUCAUUAAAACAGUUAUAGUCUACAUGGUGUUUGCUUCUAUAUGGAUAACUGUGCUAAUUGUAGAGCUAAUACAUGCGUCAAAGCCCGACUUCGCAGAAGGGUUGUAUUUAUUAGAUACAGAACCAAUCCCGCAAGGGUUUUUGGAUGAUUCACAAUAAAUGAAUGAAGCGCAUGGCUCCGGCCGGCGCUGUAUCAUUCGAGUUUCUGACCUAUCAGUUGGUCGGUGGGGUAUUGGCCCACCGUGACAGUGACGGGUAACGGAGAAUUAGGGUUCGAUUCCGGAGAGGGAGCCCGAGAAACGGCUACCGCAUCUAAGGAAGGCAGCAGGCGCGCAAAUUACCCAAUGCCGACACGGCGAGGUAGUGACAAGAAAUAACAAUGCAAGCCCGCUGGGUUAUUGUACUUGGAAUGAGUAGAAUUUAAAUCCCUUUACGAAUCAAUUGGAGGGCAAGUCUGG
rnacentral:rRNA from 1 species